UACGGAGGGAGCUAGCGUUGUUCGGAAUUACUGGGCGUAAAGCGCACGUAGGCGGCUUUGUAAGUCAGAGGUGAAAGCCUGGAGCUCAACUCCAGAACUGCCUUUGAGACUGCAUCGCUUGAAUCCAGGAGAGGUGAGUGGAAUUCCGAGUGUAGAGGUGAAAUUCGUAGAUAUUCGGAAGAACACCAGUGGCGAAGGCGGCUCACUGGACUGGUAUUGACGCUGAGGUGCGAAAGCGUGGGGAGCAAACGGG
rnacentral:rRNA from 1 species